GGGGGUAUAGCUCAGUGGUAGAGCAUUUGACUGCAGAUCUCAGGUUCAAAUCCUGGUGCCCCCU